rnacentral:rRNA from 1 species
AUACGGAGGGAGCAAGCGUUAUUCGGAAUCACUGGGCGUAAAGGACGCGUAGGCGGGUUUGUAAGUCAGGUGUGAAAUCCUACAGCUCAACUGUAGAACUGCACUUGAAACUACAGACCUAGAGUAUGGAAGGGGCAGAUGGAAUUAUUGGUGUAGGGGUAAAAUCCGUAGAUAUCACUAGGAAUACCGAAAGCGAAGGCGAUCUGCUGGGACAUUACUGACGCUGAGGCGUGAAAGCGUGGGGAGCAAACAGGAUUAGAAACCCUAGUAGUCC